UAGGUCACCCGUUUCACUAUCC
rnacentral:miRNA from 1 species